rnacentral:misc_RNA from 1 species
AAAUGAUCAGACAUCAUCAAAACAACGUUUCUUCUACCAAGAAAUUAGUCUUUCUCAUCACUUGUGUCGGUCUUCUCGGAGCCGCUCUCAUUGCAGAUGUGCUUUGGACAUCGUCUUCCUCUUUGUCUUCUUCCUAUUUUUCCAUUGCAUCAACUUGGGCCAUCGGCAGAACUAAGCUUCUUGUUAUUCCGGAUUCAUCCACUCACAAUGCUACCCAGGUAGAUGAGAAGGAGAUUGAUUCUAGGAGUUUCUUACCUGGAACCUAUUUUGAUUUACCUGCACCUGAUUUAGAAUGGGAGGAAAUGCCAUCAGCACCUGUACCUCGUCUUGAUGGGGCAGCCAUUCAGAUUAAGAAUAUCUUUUAUGUCUUUGCAGGAUAUGGAAACAUCAGUUAUGUGCAUUCUCAUGUUGACAUGUUCAAUUUCUCUGAUAAUACAUGGAUCGGGAAGUUUGACAUGCCAAAGGAGAUGGGACAUUCACAUUUAGGAGUGGCAAGUGAUGGUAGAUACAUUUAUGUGGUAUCAGGACAAUAUGGACCCCAAUGCAGAGGGCCUACUGCACGGACAUUUGUGCUCGACACUGUGACGAAGAAGUGGAACAGCAUGCCCCCAUUACCUACUCCUAGAUAUGCUCCAGCAACGCAAUUAUGGAGAGGAAGACUUCAUGUGAUGGGUGGUAGCAAGGAGAAUCGCCACACACCUGGAUUGGAGCACUGGAGCAUUGCUGUAAAAGAUGGAAAAGCAUUGGAGAAGAAGUGGCGGAGUGAAGUACCCAUACCCCGUGGAGGACCACACAGGGCUUGUGUCGUGGCCAAUGAUCGGCUUUUUGUUAUCGGUGGUCAAGAAGGUGACUUCAUGGCCAAACCUGGUUCGCCUAUUUUUAAGUGCUCCCGUAGGCAUGAGGUUGUUUAUGGUGAUGUUU